rnacentral:rRNA from 1 species
CCUACGGGCGGCAGCAGUGAGGAAUAUUGGUCAAUGGGCGGGAGCCUGAACCAGCCAAGUCGCGUGAGGGAAGACGGUCCUAUGGAUUGUAAACCUCUUUAGGCGGGGAGCAAUGCCGGGCACGUGUGCCCGGAGGGAGAGUACCAGCAGAAUAAGCAUCGGCUAACUCCGUGCCAGCAGCCGCGGUAAUACGGAGGAUGCGAGUGUUAUCCGGAUUUAGUGGGUUUAAAGGGUGCGUAGGCGGAUUUUUAAGUCAGCGGUAAAAUGUCCGGGCUCAACCCGGGCCGGCCGUUGAAACUGGGGAUCUUGAGUGGGCGAGAAGUAUGCGGAAUGCGUGGUGUAGCGGUGAAAUGCAUAGAUAUCACGCAGAACUCCGAUUGCGAAGGCAGCAUACCGGCGCCCGACUGACGCUGAGGCACGAAAGCGUGGGGAUCGAACAGGAUUAGAUACCCUAGUAGUC